rnacentral:tRNA from 3 species
GGCCCCAUCGUCUAGUGGCCCAGGACGCCGCCCUCUCAAGGCGGUAGCACGGGUUCGAAUCCCGUUGGGGCUA